GGGGGUAACUGGUUCUGACAGAAGGAGCCUUUCCAGGAAGCCUGGAAGAUGCAGAGGGUGCAUGUGCCCUGGUGGGCUCACACCUGGGGGGGAGGCAGUGUGUGUGUGCAUGUGCCCUUAACGAAGGCCAGUAGCACAGGCUGAUGGACAUUCCCGCUCAUGUUCCUGACAGGCUGACUCCCCUUUGCUGGUGGCCCUCAGCCAUGGCUGCACCCUGAACUCGCCUGGGCGGCUUGAAAACCACACCGGUCCAGGCCCCACGUCAGACCGGAGCAUUAGAACCUCCUGGAGAAGUCUGGACACAGGCAUUUCAAAUAUGCUUUAGGCACACUUCAACCCAGAUAUUGAAGGCUCCCUUUGGCUGCUAUGAACUGGAAGAAUCAAGGCUGGAGUCAGGGAGCCCAUCGAGGAGGCUGCUGCAACACUGACGCAAGAACAACAAUGACAUGUUUCUUUCCAGCACGCCCCUCAGCUUCCCAUCACAGGGUGGAUGGCAGCUGGAAGCAGGCACACAGCAGCCAGCAAAGAAGGCAGCAGAGCCACGUAAAGCAGGGCAAAGAGAUGGUCAGUGAAGGGACAGAGUCCAAGACACGUUGGUAGCCUUCGCUGUGGGCUAGCCCCGUGUCCAUCCUGGUGAUUGCAAGUCUCCAAAACUCCCCCCACCCCAACCCUUGUCCAGCAUACUGUUUAAGAAAUGUGAAAACU